CUUGACUUCAUGUGAAGGGCGUCCAGUUUUGGUUUUGGGUGGACUGUGGGACAGGAUGAAGGUGUCCAGAUAGAGCGACGUCACAGGAAAGAUGAGCCCUGAUUUGGUGGCUGAGUGGGUGGACGAGGACACACACCCCGACCGGCUGGAUGUUUGACUGACGGCGCCUCGCUAUGACUCACUGAUUCGGCUUUUCGUCCCACGCCGAGCUAUCUGCGGAGGCUAAACGGUGAGCCCUGAUCCAGAUUAGCUCCCUCUGUAGUGACCCAAUAAACCGGUCUUUACAUCAGCGUCUGCUAGCAGCCCGACGUCCUUCCGUCUGGCUGCCGGGGCUGAUUUCAGGGCGGCCGCUGGGUAAUUGUUUUGAGUUGCCAAAUUGCAACAGGAGGGAUUGGAUUACGUACCACCAGCGUGGCCCCCGCCGGCCUCGCUUCCCCCCGGAUUACAUCAGGUUCCCGUUGCUCUUCCCUCUGACUUCCUGACGACUCCUUCCUGUCAUCCUGACGUCUUCCUGUCAGCUGGUGGCGUUGUGGCGGUGAGGUGAUGCAGGAACUCAUCUGAGACGCUGACCGGAAGAAGAGGAAGCCGCCUGGCCGGACGCCAGCGAGGAUCAGGACAGCCGGAGACGUCAGAGCUUCAGACGGAAAACAAAAGUUCGUACGAUGACAGAAACGAGUCACUGGAAACCCUGAAAGCACCUGGGAAUGAUCAAUCUGUACGACUAAAUCUACUGAAAACACUGAGCUCAAAGAUUCAACUUUUAAUCUACAAUCAGGUGUUUUCCUUCAUUACACUUUAUUUUAGAACAGGGGUGUCCAACAUGAGGCCCACGGGCCAAAAGCAGUCCUCCAGAGGGUCCAAUCCGGCCCUCAAAGUGUAAAAAUUCCAGAGAAGACAUUAACUGCAGAUUGUAAAUUAGUAAAACUAUAAAUUUAAAAUCAUUUCUAGAACAUGACAAGUUGUUUUGAUCAUAAAGUAAAAUACUAGAUUGUUCAUUUGUCGUUCUAUGUCUUAUUUUUGUAAUAUUUUGUAUUGUUUUUGUUGUUUCUUUGUCUUUUUUUGUUUGACUUUUAUCGUUUGUCUCACGCUUUUGUCAUUGUGUUCUCAUUUUUGUCUCGCUUGUGUUUUUUGUCUCAUUUUCGUCAUUGUGUGUUUUGCUUUAUUCAUUGUUUUCUGUUUUAUUUUGGUCAUUUUUUUGUGUCAUUUUUCCAUUUUUUGUCACUUUGUAACUUUUUUGUCUAUUUUUUCUCAUUUUGUUUCUCGCUUUUGUUGUUUUGUCUCAUUUUUGUAGUAUUUUGUCUUGUUUUUGUUGUUUUUUGUCUUUUCUUGAAGUAAAGUCCUAUAUCAUCAGUUCCAGAUAGGUGACUAAAUGUUGUGUUCCUUUGUCGACACUCAGUGAUGUGGAAGUUGUAAUGUGGAAAUGAUAAACUGA
ensembl:lncRNA